GAUGAACGCUGGCGGCGUGCUUAACACAUGCAAGUCGAACGGUGAAGCUCCAGCUUGCUGGAGUGGAUCAGUGGCGAACGGGUGAGUAACACGUGAGCAACCUGCCCCUGACUCUGGGAUAACAGCCGGAAACGGCUGCUAAUACCGGAUAGGCACCAUGAACGCAUUUUCUGUGGUGGGAAAGAUUUUUCGGUUGGGGAUGGGCUCGCGGCCUAUCAGCUUGUUGGUGAGGGAAUGGCUCACCAAGGCGUCGACGGGUAGCCGGCCUGAGAGGGUGACCGGCCACACUGGGACUGAGACACGGCCCAGACUCCUACGGGAGGCAGCAGUGGGGAAUAUUGCACAAUGGGCGAAAGCCUGAUGCAGCAACGCCGCGUGAGGGAUGACGGCCUUCGGGUUGUAAACCUCUUUUAGCAGGGAAGAAGCGAGAGUGACGGUACCUGCAGAAAAAGCGCCGACUAACUACGUG
rnacentral:rRNA from 1 species